GGGUAAUUAAAAAAAAUCACACAAAGUCCCUAGAUAAUACUAAAAGACAAAAUAUGGCCAUAUUUACUGUAUUCUCUUUGUUUGAAACAGCAUAAAGAAUUGUGGGAAAGCAGAGGGAAAUUAUGAUGCCACAUUAAAACUGAGUUUUCUAAAUCAGGUACCAUUCUCAUCUCUAGGGAUGCAGAAAGGAAUGGUUCUGUCAAAUACUGCCCAAAUUAUCAGAGAUUCUGAGACUGCAGGAUCCUGGGAGUUUACAACUUGAGAUUGUUACUCUGGCAAGAGACUAUCCUGACAUGAGUGAGCAGCAUAUUAUUGCUCUCCUAAACCUGAAGACCAACCUUUCAAGCUCAGAUCUGCGCAGGAUCAAAAAGUGUCUGAGUGAAAACAGAGGCACACUGGACACUCUGGAGUCCUCUACUUCCUUACUCACUAAAAAAUUCAGCAAAUGGAAAAUCAUCUAAAUGCCCUGUUACAUCUAUUGCUAAUGUUAAAAUACUGUGAUAUCUUUGUUGUUAUGUAAUAUUUAUUAUUAAAACACUCAUGGUAUUAUC